UGGGGAAUCUUAGACAAUGGGCGAAAGCCUGAUCUAGCGAUGCCGCGUGUGUGACGAAGGCCUUAGGGUCGUAAAGCACUUUCGCCAGGGAUGAUAAUGACAGUACCUGGUAAAGAAACCCCGGCUAACUCCGUGCCAGCAGCCGCGGUAAUACGGAGGGGGUUAGCGUUGUUCGGAAUUACUGGGCGUAAAGCGCACGUAGGCGGACUAUUAAGUCAGGGGUGAAAUCCCGGGGCUCAACCCCGGAACUGCCUUUGAUACUGGUAGUCUUGAGUUCGAGAGAGGUGAGUGGAAUUCCGAGUGUAGAGGUGAAAUUCGUAGAUAUUCGGAGGAACACCAGUGGCGAAGGCGGCUCACUGGCU
rnacentral:rRNA from 1 species